rnacentral:lncRNA from 1 species
AGCUUCCACCCAUCUAUUUACCAUAGCUUCCACCCAUUCUGCCAAUGCUUCUCUGAAACCCAGUAUUGGUACAGACAUUGCUCAGUCCUAACAGGGAUCGCAAGCUUCCACCAGGAAAGGCAAAAGGGAAGAUACACAUGUAUGGAGCUCCUACUGUAUACCUCACCUUGGGCUAAACAAUUCUCAUAUGUCAUCUCACAUAAGCCUUUCAGCAGUGCAUCCCCCUCUCCCCAUCAAGUCUUUCAGCACAGUUGCUCAUCAAGAAUCUCCACUCUGCCUUCCAGAGGUGAUGAGCACAUCCAGGAGAAGGACUAGACCAUAACCUGUCCCUUUUCCCAGUGUCAACCCAGGAC